AACCACAACUAAAUAAAUAUACAAGUCAUCAUACAUUCAAUAUCCAUACACCAUUUACCACAGGUUCAUAAACAGAGAUCUGAAUAUAAAUCCACAACUAUCAGUUAAAACAUUUCCUACCCGGAAACUUAUUUUAAAAUACUAAGUCAAGAAAACUACGAGAAAACUCUUUUGAAAGCUGUUUUCCACACGGAAACCUUUUCUUUUGAAAACACGCUACCACGAGGGGUAGAAAACCUUUCCUUUUUACAAACAUUCAGAAAUCUUUAUCUCAUUCGGAAAACCAACUAAAAUCUUGAAUAAUUAAACAUAAUGAAAUACUGAAUCAUAUAGAUGUCUAAGUCAUAUCAACAGAAAUAACAAAGGUAGUAACUAAACUACACAAACCGGGUCAGAAGUUCUAUCGACAGCUAUCCGCGUGUCUCACGUCUCGUCUCAAUCUCACCGCCCGCAAUACCUAAAAAAUGGUGGGGAAUGUGAGAACAUGUAAACAUGUCUCCCCUCCAAGUGGGUACCGCAAGCCGAUAAAGGCGAGGAGUACUCACCGGAUCAGGAAGAGAUAAACAAGAUAAUAAGCAGAUAUACUGAAUACAGUAGCAAUAAACUGAAAGAAAGUAGGAACUAUACUAAAUAACGGCUACCGCUACUGUAACUAGAACAGAAAGCAUACAUG
rnacentral:lncRNA from 1 species